rnacentral:rRNA from 1 species
AGAGUUUGAUCAUGGCUCAGGACGAACGCUGGCGGCGUGCUUAACACAUGCAAGUCGAACGGAAAGGCCCUUCGGGGUACUCGAGUGGCGAACGGGUGAGUAACACGUGGGUGAUCUGCCCUGCACUUUGGGAUAAGCCUGGGAAACUGGGUCUAAUACCGAAUAGGACCACGCGCUUCAUGGUGUGUGGUGGAAAGCUUUUGCGGUGUGGGAUGGGCCCGCGGCCUAUCAGCUUGUUGGUGGGGUAAUGGCCUACCAAGGCGACGACGGGUAGCCGGCCUGAGAGGGUGACCGGCCACACUGGGACUGAGAUACGGCCCAGACUCCUACGGGAGGCAGCAGUGGGGAAUAUUGCACAAUGGGCGCAAGCCUGAUGCAGCGACGCCGCGUGAGGGAUGACGGCCUUCGGGUUGUAAACCUCUUUCAAUAGGGACGAAGCGCAAGUGACGGUACCUAUGGAAGAAGCACCGGCCAACUACGUGCCAGCAGCCGCGGUAAUACGUAGGGUGCGAGCGUUGUCCGGAAUUACUGGGCGUAAAGAGCUCGUAGGUGGUUUGUCGCGUUGUUCGUGAAAACUCACAGCUUAACUGUGGGCGUGCGGGCGAUACGGGCAGACUAGAGUGCUGCAGGGGAGACUGGAAUUCCUGGUGUAGCGGUGGAAUGCGCAGAUAUCAGGAGGAACACCGGUGGCGAAGGCGGGUCUCUGGGCAGUAACUGACGCUGAGGAGCGAAAGCGUGGGGAGCGAACAGGAUUAGAUACCCCGGUAGUCCAA